rnacentral:rRNA from 1 species
UGGGGAAUAUUGCACAAUGGGGGAAACCCUGAUGCAGCGACGCCGCGUGAACGAAGAAGUAUUUCGGUAUGUAAAGUUCUAUCAGCAGGGAAGAAGAAAUGACGGUACCUGACUAAGAAGCACCGGCUAAAUACGUGCCAGCAGCCGCGGUAAUACGUAUGGUGCAAGCGUUAUCCGGAUUUACUGGGGUGUAAAGGGAGCGCAGGCGGAAGGCUAAGUCUGAUGUGAAAGCCCGGGGCUCAACCCCGGUGCUGCAUUGGAAACUGGUCAUCUAGAGUGUCGGAGGGGUAAGUGGAAUUCCUAGUGUAGCGGUGAAAUGCGUAGAUAUUAGGAGGAACACCAGUGGCGAAGGCGGCUUACUGGACGAUAACUGACGCUGAGGCUCGAAAGCGUGGGGAGC